rnacentral:rRNA from 1 species
AUUGAACGCUGGCGGCAUGCCUUACACAUGCAAGUCGAACGGUAACAGGUCUUCGGAUGCUGACGAGUGGCGAACGGGUGAGUAAUACAUCGGAACGUGCCUAGUAGUGGGGGAUAACUACUCGAAAGAGUGGCUAAUACCGCAUGAGAUCUACGGAUGAAAGCAGGGGAUCGCAAGACCUUGUGCUACUAGAGCGGCCGAUGGCAGUCUAGGUAGUUGGUGGGAUAAAAGCUUACCAAGCCGACGAUCUGUAGCUGGGCUGAGAGGACGAUCAGAGCCACUGGGACGGAGACACGGCCCAGAAUCCUACGGGAGGCAGUAGUGGGGAAUUUUGGACAAUGGGCGAAAGCCUGAUCCAGCAAUGCCGCGUGCAGGAUGAAGGCCUUCGGGUUGUAAACUGCUUUUGUACGGAACGAAAAGCCCCGGGUUAAUACCCUGGGUCAUGACGGUACCGUAAGAAUAAGCACCGGCUAACUACGUGCCAGCCGCCGCCGUAA